rnacentral:rRNA from 1 species
CAGCCGCCGCGGGAAUACGAAGGGUGCAAGCGUUACUCGGAAUUACUGGGCGUAAAGCGUGCGUAGGUGGUGGUUUAAGUCCGUUGUGAAAGCCCUGGGCUCAACCUGGGAAUUGCAGUGGAUACUGGGUCACUAGAGUGUGGUAGAGGAUAGUGGAAUUUCCGGUGUAGCAGUGAAAUGCGUAGAGAUCGGAAGGAACAUCUGUGGCGAAGGCGACUAUCUGGGCCAACACUGACACUGAGGCACGAAAGCGUGGGGAGCAAACAGGAUUAGAUACCCCAGUAGUCCCUGUCUCUUAUAC